rnacentral:misc_RNA from 1 species
AGAGUCGGCUAUUCCAGAAUCCACUCCAAACGAAGUCAGUGGCUGCGGCAAAAGUAUGGAAAAGACCAUAUCCACAGACGACCAGAUCUCGUCGACUGUUUUGCAUAAACUUUAGGUUGUUGCUAAAUGUAUUUUUUUUUCGAUAUGUUAAGCUAAUCCCUAGACAAUCAUAUUGAUAAAAUGUAUUGUGUUUUUCAGUGACAAAAAACACCCAAUUGUUAACUUCAGAUUUAUGUGUUCAUUUGUAAAGUAUGUUUACGCACAUAAAUUGAAUUAAACAUCAUCCCGCCAUGGUAUAACUUGGUAGUUAUUAUUAGAUGAUUGAUGCAUCUAUAUGAAAUUUAAAGAGUGUAACCCUAUUCAUGGGUCCUAUCAUAUAAAUGAUAGAUCAUGUUCUUGUAAUACCCGCAUAGUGAAAACCCCGAAAAGAAUAUGUGUUUAUCCCCCGUGCUUUUUGUUUGUAUGAAAUGGCAUUGUUAAUAAUAUUUAUAAAUGGAUUGUGAAAUUUUCUGUUUAUUUGUCAUCUCAAUUUUGUUAUUUGUUGAAACAUUUUGAAAUAAAUAUAUAAACAAU